rnacentral:rRNA from 1 species
AGUGAACGCUGGCGGUAGGCCUAACACAUGCAAGUCGAACGGCAGCACAGUAAGAGCUUGCUCUUACGGGUGGCGAGUGGCGGACGGGUGAGGAAUACAUCGGAAUCUACUUUUUCGUGGGGGAUAACAUAGGGAAACUUACGCUAAUACCGCAUACGACCUACGGGUGAAAGCAGGGGAUCUUCGGACCUUGCGCGAUUGAAUGAGCCGAUGUCGGAUUAGCUAGUUGGCGGGGUAAAGGCCCACCAAGGCGACGAUCCGUAGCUGGUCUGAGAGGAUGAUCAGCCACACUGGAACUGAGACACGGUCCAGACUCCUACGGGAGGCAGCAGUGGGGAAUACUGGACAAUGGGCGCAAGCCUGAUCCAGCCAUACCGCGUGGGUGAAGAAGGCCUUCGGGUUGUAAAGCCCUUUUGUUGGGAAAGAAAAGCAGCAGGUUAAUACCCCGCUGUUCUGACGGUACCCAAAGAAUAAGCACCGGCUAACUUCGUG